AAUCCGUGUUGUGGGUACCUCCGUAAAAGAUCCUUGAAGCGCUUCCAUGUCUCAAACAAUGAUUCCAACUUCAUCUGCAUAAACAAUAAUAUCUCAUUGCGAAGCUU